rnacentral:lncRNA from 1 species
CAAUAAUAAUGCGAUUGUUGUGUAAUGAUAGAACACUCACCCCAUAAGAGAGAAUGUCCUGAGUUCAGUCCUCAUUGCGUCCCUGGUAGCUCCACACUCAACCUUUUUCUCUGUGUAGCUGUUUGUCAAGUUUUUUUUGAUCAUAAUGGAAAGUCAAAAUUUAUUAGAUGAUUUAACAAAGGAACAAAUACCAAAAUCUGUAUGUCGUGCUUAUAGCUCGUGUUCAGUGUCAAAGUACUCUUUAAUAACAGAAGGUGAUGUUAACCUUUGUAGGUUGUUUCACCAUAGUAGCAUAUUCAAAAAUAUUAUCAAUGCUCACAUUAUUCGUCGUUGGGAGCGUCAUAGAGUUGUGUUAGACGAGUAUUCCAUUCGUUCAAAAACUCCAAAAGGUUAUAUGGGCCAUGGAGUAGAAUACGCAAAUAUUAAAGAUCUGGUUAUGUGUAGUGUAAAAGGUCACCAUUUAAUACACAUAUCCAUUCCAUCUAGCGGAACAUUAUCUAUUCAG